AGUGAACGCUGGCGGUAGGCCUAACACAUGCAAGUCGAACGGCAGCACAGUAAGAGCUUGCUCUUACGGGUGGCGAGUGGCGGGCGGGUGAGGAAUACAUCGGAAUCUACUUUUUCGUGGAGGAUAACGUAGGGAAACUUACGCUAAUACCGCAUACGACCUACGGGUGAAAGCAGGGGAUCUUCGGACCUUGCGCGGUUGGAUGAGCCGAUGUCGGAUUAGCUAGUUGGCGGGGUAAAGGCCCACCAAGGCGACGAUCCGUAGCUGGUCUGCGAGGAUGAUCAGCCACACUGGAACUGCGACACGGUCCAGACUCCUACGGGAGGCAGCAGUGGGGAAUAUUGGACAAUGGGCGCAAGCCUGAUCCAGCCAUACCGCGUGGGUGAAGAAGGCCUUCGGGUUGUAAAGCCCUUUUGUUGGGAAAGAAAAGCAGCAGGUUAAUACCCCGCUGUUCUGACGGUACCCAAAGAAUAAGCACCGGCUAACUUCGUG
rnacentral:rRNA from 1 species